rnacentral:rRNA from 1 species
AUUGAACGCUGGCGGCAGGCCUAACACAUGCAAGUCGAGCGGAUGAAGGGAGCUUGCUCCUGGAUUCAGCGGCGGACGGGUGAGUAAUGCCUAGGAAUCUGCCUGGUAGUGGGGGAUAACGUCCGGAAACGGGCGCUAAUACCGCAUACGUCCUGAGGGAGAAAGUGGGGGAUCUUCGGACCUCACGCUAUCAGAUGAGCCUAGGUCGGAUUAGCUAGUUGGUGGGGUAAAGGCCUACCAAGGCGACGAUCCGUAACUGGUCUGAGAGGAUGAUCAGGCACACUGGAACUGAGACACGGUCCAGACUCCUACGGGAGGCAGCAGUGGGGAAUAUUGGACAAUGGGCGGAAGCCUGAUCCAGGCAUGCCGCGUGGGGGGAGAAGGGCUUCGGGUUUUAAAGCACUUUUAGGUGGGAAGAAAGGCAGGAAGUUAAUACCCUGCUGUUUUGACGGUACCAAAAGAAUAAGCACCGGCUAACUUCGUG